rnacentral:ncRNA from 1 species
CCAUCCAGUCGCACAUGCGGUUGGAUAUUUCUCCUCUAUUUUCUCCUUUGUAGAUUCGCGCUCGUUGCAAAACGAGCGCAUUUUU